rnacentral:rRNA from 1 species
UACGUAGGGUGCGAGCGUUGUCCGGAAUUACUGGGCGUAAAGAGCUCGUAGGUGGUUUGUCGCGUUGUCCGUGAAAACUCACAACUCAAUUGUGGGCGUGCGGGCGAUACGGGCAGACUGGAGUACUGCAGGGGAGACUGGAAUUCCUGGUGUAGCGGUGGAAUGCGCAGAUAUCAGGAGGAACACCGGUGGCGAAGGCGGGUCUCUGGGCAGUAACUGACGCUGGAGGAGCGAAAGCGUGGGAGCGAACAGGAUUAGAACCAUACCGUUCGUAGUCCAAGACCAGUC